AACGAACGCUGGCGGCAUGCCUAACACAUGCAAGUCGAACGGGAACCUAGCGUCGGUUAGGUGAGAGUGGCGGACGGGUGAGUAACACGUGGGAAUCUGCCUUUUGGUCUGGGAUAACCGCGGGAAACUGCGGCUAAUACCGGAUGCAACCGUGAGGUGAAAGAUUUAUCGCCAGAAGAGGAGCCAGCGUCCGAUUAGGGAGUUGGUAGGGUAAAGGCCUCCCAAGCCGACGAUCGGUAGCUGGUCUGAGAGGAUGAUCAGCCACACUGGGACUGAGAUACGGCCCAGACUCCUACGGGAGGCAGCAGUGGGGAAUAUUGGACAAUGGGCGAAAGCCUGAUCCAGCAAUGCCGCGUGAGUGAUGAAGGCCUUAGGGUUGUAAAGCUCUUUUGCCAGGGAAGAUGAUGACGGUACCUGGAGAAUAAGCCCCGGCUAACUUCGUGCCAGCCGCCGCAGUAACAC
rnacentral:rRNA from 1 species